UCCACCGUAACAAAUUUAGUUAACAGGAAGCAAUCCCAGAUCUAUAGGCACAGAGAAGAAUAAGAGAGAAACUUCACCCUAAUGAAAUUUAGACUUGAGUUUUAGAAGAUUUUCCUGGAAAGACUAAGUAGAGUCAAGAGUUGAGAUAAAGUGAAGGCAUGAAAAGCAGAAUGAUGUGGAAUUUAAAAGAUGAAGAGCUAUAAACGUGUUAAUUUAAUUGGCACGAUCUCUCGAAGACAGAUCCACUGCAACCACGAAGAAGAAUUAUCCUUUCUACACAGGGCCAUUUUUCCACGAUGCUACUACAUUGGCCAUCACAGAGCACAAUGGCAUCACCAGAAACCAAGAAGAUGGUAAGGCCUGGAGGUGGCAGAGCUGAAGAGGUGAGAGAAGGAAGCCUGAUGAAGAAAUACAAUUCU
rnacentral:lncRNA from 1 species